GUUUUUAUGGUGUAAUUAACACGUUGUAUUUUCGUUACAAAACUGAAAUUCUUUUUCUAAAAACU
rnacentral:tRNA from 1 species